UCAGUAAUAGCGCGCGCGCACACACACACACACACAUGCAAACAAAUAUAUGUCUCAACAAAUAGUGGAUUAAAAAAAUGAACUACAGCGUCAGAGGGCCCAGGACCCGUUUCAGUUGGGAUUCAGACUGGAACCUGGUACAAAGAUGUCAUUGGUCAUCUGGUGCAGCAGUUUUCAAUAUUAUUGGCCAUGGUGUCCUUCUGGACCACUUUUGGGAAUGAAGAGUAGAGGGCACUGUAUUGUGGUGAUUUUUCUCCUUCUUUGUAACUGGUCCCAGUCAGUGUUGGUGGGGGAAGAGUUUGAACCUGAGCCCCCUGAUAUGUGGGGUGCCACAGGGCUUGACACUCUCCCUCUCCUGUUUAAUAUCUGGGUGAGGUGACCUGUCAUUCUGAGGUCAGGAAUCACCGCUAAGCUGAUGAUAUAUCUAAGCCCAGGCUGACCACGUGAUGUGGUCAAGGUCUUGUCUCAGGGUUUGGAGGCUGUGGGGGUCUGGAUAGUGAGGAAAAGACUCAGACUCAACCCUAGCACCCUGCCCAAGUGGCUGUAGGUAGUUGGACCAACUGAAACUGGAGACUUCCCAUUUUUAGUCCUGAAUGCGGUUUCAUUCCCCUAUUCAGGACUGGCGCAGAACUUGGGAGUUUUCCUGGGCUCACAGCUCCUGCUCAAGAGGCAGGUGACAGUUUUGGCCAAGAAGGCCAAGCAAUUCAAUCUUAUUUUAACACUACACAUGUGGUAAUAUGUACACUUAGAACAAACUGGGUAGCUAUGGAUAGAGGUUCAGGGCAAAUAAGUGGUUAAUGACCCAUGGGGAGAAGUGGUAAAAAAAAACUCAAGAGGAUAUCUGCGACUAUGCAAUUUAAGCCCUGCCCCUUAGUAUAUACAUGCAACACUGAGCACAUACAAAAAGGGUGAGUCUUGGUGUGGUUGGGACCACCAACUUCACCUUUUUGACCCUCCGCCCUGGAUGCUGCUGCUGCCCUAAACUCCCAGGAGUAGCUUGACAGCAAGCUGGGACUGUCUUCAGUCUAGUCAAAGCCCUGAGAACCAGGAGCAGAAAAUCACUGCCUGACAUAAAACUGCUGUAGCAAAAGCAAACUCCCAAACCUCCCCACCCAAAAAGGAUAGAAAAACUUCCCUUGGAGCUGGAGAGCUGUGAAGAGAAGAGGAAACUAACAAAAACACUGUCUGUUUUAUCCCUGUUUCCUAUGGCUGAGAGGCAGUGGCACUCCAGCCCUUUCCCUUAGUGGCACCUACAGCCCAAAAACCAGGUGAAGGAAUGAGGCAAGAGUUCCCACCAAAGGAGAAAGGGAACUGCAACAUCUCAACCCAAAAAGGGAAGAAUAAUCAGCAGCACUCUCAACUAAGCCACAGCUGAGCUGGAGAUAAAGCAGCUUAAUUUUCCAACACUGCUGACAUCAUGGAAAAACAGCUGCUUAACAAGUGGCUUGGCAUCCUCAUGUGGACGUGCCCUCAGUGUGUAUUAUUGCUUAACACACACAAGACCUUCGGAAUCUGGAUCAAUAUCUACAUAGUCCUACAUUCUUGAGGCAAGAGGCAUUGAUGUGUGCAGAAAUUGGCCAACACUAUAGCCUUCCUUCCAACCAUCUCUAAUAAUCUGCUAAGAGAAGAGCUAAGAUGGUUACAUUAUCUGGCACUGGCCACUGGGAAUGAUAUUCAAGACUGUAACCUGCAAGAGUGAAAAGAUGAAAGUUGCCUCUUGCACAGCCUUCAAGCAAGCAGAAAGCUCAAAAACAUCAAGAAGAGAUGGGGGAAAAGGGAAAGAACAGAAAGCUGUGGUCAAGAGACAUACAUUUCUUCAGAAGUAAGGCAACUUCAAAAGGUCUCUCUCACGCAGGCUCUCUCAGCUGCGUGCAUCUCAAGCAGUGGUUUGAGCUACCGUAUUGCUCUUUGGAACAUCGAUAUUCUGGAUUGCUGGUGAGACAGACAAUUUCUCAUUGAUGGAAACUUUUACAUAAGAUCACCUCUCAGCUCCUGGACUCAACUCAUCCUCUUCCCUCCUAUCCAUACAGAUUCAGCCCAAGACUGUCUGGCCAAUAUGCUACUAUUCAGUUUUUAUUCACAUUUUUUAUUCACAGUUUAUUAUUAAAACAGUUUUUUCCCUCCAAACUGUGUUCUGUGGAAUCCUAGGUUUUGUGAGAACUUGAUGGGGUUCUAUGAGAGACUAAGGGGGGAAAAUCAUCCAAGCACAGCCAAUACUCUAUCACUAGAGGUUUGGCUGUUGACCGGGGAUUCUGGGAUAGAUAAACAGACAGACUAAAUGGCUCAAAGUUUCAAACAACUUUGGGGGAAUUGAGUAAAAAGAGUAGUGCAUGGAAGUUUUUUGUCAUUUUUAUGUCAUUUCUGUUAGUUUUUUUUUUUUUA